rnacentral:lncRNA from 1 species
GUUUGAAGAUGUUCAUAUUAUAAGAAAAUGAUAUAAAUAAUUUCUAAAUUAUAAUGGCCUAGAUGAAUGGUUCAGUGAAUGGGGAUCAUCAGAGAGUAAUGGAAGAGUGCCUUGAAAACCAUCUUCUCUGUGCUCUGUCCUGCUCAGUGUUGAUGCUCCCCAGAAGACUGACACUUGCCUCCAUAGUAGCAGGCCGGGGCUUCCAUCUCAGGGUGGAGCUUGGUGCAAAUAAUGCAUGAACCAGACUGACAGGAGGUUUUGCUGUGAUGGAGUCAUCAUGGGAAGUCACUGUGUUAGCACAGAGCCAUCUGUAGGUAAGAGCCAAAAUUCUGAUCUUUCUUUACACAUCCGAUUAUAUGUAAACACAGUAUGAUUAAAAUAGUUAUUUAUAAAUGCAGUCCAUAAAAUAAGUAUUUUUUGCUAAUAGCAGAUUGGAAGAG